GUGCGUUCAAGUAGCGGUGUAAACUGUACUGUAUACCUAAACAUGCGGACCCAUUCAACGAAAAUUUUUGAGAUUUAUAAAAUAAUUCCAGUGAAACGCUAUCGCUGGAUAUUCAUUUACGGCAGCCAUGGGAAUCAGAAGAGGGCUUGUUCUGACUUUUUCACUGGAGAUUAUCUAUUUCUUGAGAACUUCUGCGGCGUUUUAUUAUAAUUCCUAUCCCGAUUUUAACAAAAGAUGUAAUCAAACUGAGGUGCUAGAAUGCCCAUACACCCUCAGUGGCAGAGCCGGUACAUUGCGCUAUCAGAACAUCCCGGCACUGUCGAAGGCAUCCUGCUGGUUUGAUGUUACACUGGAUGCCAAUCUGCGGAAAACCAUUUGCGUCUUUUGCGUUUUACCUCAACCUAAGAAAAUUUAAUCUGCCUCACCCAGAAGCCUUGAAAAUAUAUGAAAACUGGAAUGGAUUGCGUGGCCUGGUUAUGCAACUGGCCGACAGCAUGCCUCAAUGUCGUAAUCCUUCAUCUGUCGC